GAAAAAUUCAGAGAUUUCUUUGUGUGCCUACUGAUUACACAGAGCUAUAACUGACCACCAUCUACUGGGUGGUUCAUCUGAUAUCCACUUAGAUGCUUGUCACUGAUCACCUAUUUCAGAUAGAUGAAAUUAUCUUUCAAAUUUAGAGUUCACAGCUAUUGCGCUUAUUUCUGGAAUAAUUAAAAUUAUAUUCAUGAGUACAAAUAUGCCCGCCAACAAAAGCUAUUUUUAACCCACAGAGGUAGAAUGUUUGGUCUGAUGGUUUGGUUCCAUAUCAAACAUAGCAGGAAUAUUCAGAAAUCUCUGUACUAUCUGUAGUAUAUUCUGGUCCUAAUGUGAGUUUAUUUGUUCAUCAUUAACUUGCCGGAUCAUUAACAAAUAUUUGCGGAGAACUUCUGCAGUGCCAGUUCAUGAAGCUCACGGUGUAGCAGAAGACAGACGUUGAUGAAAUAAUCACAUCAAUGAGUGUAAAACUGCUACUGUGUAGAGUCCCAGCAUAACGCAUCCAGUUCAGAUGAAGAGAGUUUAGUGAAAAGAUAACUCAGAAAGAUGGAGGCUGGUUUACGAGAAUUAAUGAAAGGCUCAGAGGAGAGAGAAGCUGCUCCCACCCCAGGUCUGAAAAACAAGAAGUUAGGAUGAUGUCACUGAUGAUGUCCUUGAAGGCUGGAGCCAGAGAGGAAGAAAUGGGCUGGAGAAAGCAGCCCCGCUGUGAGCACAGAAUGCAGGGAGGGGAGUGGACAGGCCCGACCCCUCCUCUCCUAGCCCCAGAUUCUGCCAUUGCUUCCACCUGCAGAAGCCGGCGUUGCUCGGGGAGCCCGCUCGCGUCCCCUGAUUGGCCCUCCAGGGAGGAAGUGGGCGGGGCCUAUUGAAAGGACCAGUGCCCACCGCCAUGGGGGUGGGAGUAGCACAGCGGGGACGGAGCUGGAGGCCAAGGAAAGGCCUGGGUGAGGGACCCGAGCUGAGUGCUGAAGAGAGGCCAGGGCGGGACCGAGAGGAGCGGAGGGAAGAGCGAGGGGAGGUGUCAGUUGUCGGAGAUUUUCUGGGAGUCCUCGGGACUUUUAUGCAAAGUGGAUUAUCUGGACGAGGCAGUAAACAGUGUCUGCUCAGAGAUUGGAUGAGGACAGAGUGGGAACCUGUCCCAGGAGGGCUCCGUGUGUGGUCAGGACGCUACCUGGUUUCCAGAGUUUCCCCACUUCAGGCUUUGUAG
rnacentral:lncRNA from 1 species